CGACUAUGAUGAUAUACAUGAAAGGUCUCGUUCGGCGUAAUGGCUAACAACCUUGACGACAAUUCAUAUAUAUCACCACCCAUAAUCUGAGUCC
rfam:Picea glauca, whole genome shotgun sequence.